rnacentral:rRNA from 1 species
UACGUAGGGUCCGAGCGUUGUCCGGAAUUACUGGGCGUAAAGAGCUCGUAGGUGGUUUGUCGCGUUGUUCGUGAAAACUCACAGCUCAACUGUGGGCGUGCGGGCGAUACGGGCAGACUGGAGUACUGCAGGGGAGACUGGAAUUCCUGGUGUAGCGGUGGAAUGCGCAGAUAUCAGGAGGAACACCGGUGGCGAAGGCGGGGUCUCUGGGCAGUAACUGACGCUGGAGGAGCGAAAGCGUGGGGAGCGAACAGG